rnacentral:rRNA from 1 species
CUACUACCGAUUGAAUGGCUCAGUGAGGCUUCCGGACUGGCCCAGAGAGGUCGGCAACGACCACUCAGGGCCGGAAAGCUAUCCAAACUCGGUCAUUUAGAGGAAGUAAAAGUCGUAACAAGGUCUCCGUUGGUGAACCAGCGGAGGGAUCAUUA